rnacentral:rRNA from 1 species
AUGGCUCAGUGAGGCUUCCGGACUGGCCCAGAGAGGUCGGCAACGACCACUCAGGGCCGGAAAGUUAUCCAAACUCGGUCAUUUAGAGGAAGUAAAAGUCGUAACAAGGUCUCCGUUGGUGAACCAGCGGAGGGAUCAUUA